UGAUUAUUAAAUUAUAUUGGCGUCUGCAACAAAAGACAACAAGUGCUGAGAUCCUGUCUCAACCUCCUUGAGACCAAGAGACACCAAGUGCUGAGAUCCUGUCUCAACCUCCUACAGACCAAUUACUGAGUGACAUACCCACUUCAUUCUUCCAACAGGGACCACGGAGCAGACGGCAGACCUCAUUCGACUCCGCCGUGACAAUGAGCACCUGUUCACGGGUGCGAAACACUCAGCCGCAGUGGGUUGGAGGGAAAUCGUGGAGAAGAUGGACCUGGCGGGGAAAAUCUCCCCUGUGCAGGCAAAACGUAAAUGGGAGAACCUGAA